UACGUAGGUGACAAGCGUUGUCCGGAUUUACUGGGCGUAAAGAGCGCGCAGGCGGUCUGUCGCGUCGGCUGUGAAAACCCGGGGCUCAACUCCGGGCCUGCAGUCGAUACGGGCAGACUAGAGUUCGGUAGGGGAGACUGGAAUUCCUGGUGUAGCGGUGAAAUGCGCAGAUAUCAGGAGGAACACCGGUGGCGAAGGCGGGUCUCUGGGCCGAAACUGACGCUGAGGAGCGAAAGCGUGGGGAGCGAACAGG
rnacentral:rRNA from 1 species